rnacentral:pre_miRNA from 11 species
UUUUAAGGUGAAAGACCCCCGAAGGGAGACCCUCACUCAAAUCUCAGGAAUAGCGCGCACCCAGUGAGGCACUGAGACCG